GAACGCUGGCGGCGCGCCUAACACAUGCAAGUCGAACGGAGUUAUUUUCUUCACUCCGAGCUUUUUGCCAGUUAGCCGGAGCGGCAAUCGGUUUUGCCCAGCAUAAAAGCAAAACCGAUUUAGGCUCAUAAAGUAAGACUAACACAGAGGGCAGAGAGUUGGGAGUGAAGAAAAUAACUUAGUGGCGAACGGGUGAGUAACGCGUGAGUAACCUGCCCUGGAGUGGGGGACAACAGUUGGAAACGACUGCUAAUACCGCAUAAGCCCACGGCCCGGCAUCGGGCUGCGGGAAAAGGAUUUAUUCGCUUCAGGAUGGACUCGCGUCCAAUUAGCUAGUUGGUGAGGUAACGGCCCACCAAGGCGACGAUUGGUAGCCGGACUGAGAGGUUGAACGGCCACAUUGGGACUGAGACACGGCCCAGACUCCUACGGGAGGCAGCAGUGGGGGAUAUUGCACAAUGGGGGAAACCCUGAUGCAGCGACGCCGCGUGGAGGAAGAAGGUUUUCGGAUUGUAAACUCCUGUCGUUAGGGACGAUAAUGACGGUACCUAACAAGAAAGCACCGGCUAACUACGUGCCAGCAGCCGCGGUAAAACGUAGGGUGCAAGCGUUGUCCGGAAUUACUGGGUGUAAAGGGAGCGCAGGCGGACCGGCAAGUUGGAAGUGAAAACUAUGGGCUCAACCCAUAAAUUGCUUUCAAAACUGCUGGCCUUGAGUAGUGCAGAGGUAGGUGGAAUUCCCGGUGUAGCGGUGGAAUGCGUAGAUAUCGGGAGGAACACCAGUGGCGAAGGCGACCUACUGGGCACCAACUGACGCUGAGGCUCGAAAGCAUGGGUAGCAAACAGGAUUAGAUACCCUGGUAGUCCAUGCCGUAAAC
rnacentral:rRNA from 1 species